ACGGAGGGUGCAAGCGUUAAUCGGAAUUACUGGGCGUAAAGCGCACGCAGGCUGUUUGUUAAGUCAGAUGUGAAAUCCCACGGCUCAACCGUGGAACUGCCUUUGAUACUGCACAACUUGAAUCCCGGAGAGGGGGGCGGAAUUCCAGGUGUAGGGGUGAAAUGCGUAGAUAUCUGGAGGAAUACCAGUGGCGAAGGCGGCCACCUGGACGAGUACUGACGCUGAGGUGCGAAAGCGUGGGGAGCAAACAG
rnacentral:rRNA from 1 species